rnacentral:rRNA from 1 species
GGCAGGCUUAACACAUGCAAGUCGAGCGGUAGCAGAUCUAGCUUGCUAGAUGCUGACGAGCGGCGGACGGGUGAGUAACGCGUAGGAACCUGCCCAGUAGUGGGGGAGUAGCCCGGGAAACGUACGGAGUUAAUACCGCAUACGCUCUACGGAGGAAAGAGGGCUUCGGGCUCUCGCUAUUGGAUGGGCCUGCGUGAGAUUAGCUAGUUGGUGAGGUAAUGGCUCACCAAGGCGACGAUCUCUAGCUGGUCUGAGAGGAUGAUCAGCCACACUGGGACUGAGACACGGCCCAGACUCCUACGGGAGGCAGCAGUGGGGAAUAUUGCACAAUGGGCGCAAGCCUGAUGCAGCCAUGCCGCGUGUGUGAAGAAGGCUUUCGGGUUGUAAAGNCACUUUCAGUGGGGAGGAAGGCCUCGUAGUUAAUAGCUGCGAGGAUUGACGUUACCCACAGAAGAAGCACCGGCUAACUCCGUG